rnacentral:rRNA from 1 species
CCUACGGGAGGCAGCAGCAAGGGAUUUUCCCCAAUGGGCGUAAGCCUGAGGGAGCAACGCCGCGUGCAGGACGACGGCCUUCGGGUUGUAAACUGCUUUUGGGCGGGAAGAUCGUGACGGUACCGCCCGAAUAAGCCCCGGCUAACUCCGUGCCAGCAGCCGCGGUAAGACGGAGGGGGCAAGCGUUGUCCGGACUUACUGGGCGUAAAGCGUCCGUAGGCGGAAUGGUGCGUCGGUGCUGAAAGCGCCCGGCUUAACCGGGCGAGGCGUGCCGAUACGACUGCUCUAGAGGCAGGCAGAGGGUGGCGGAAUUCCGGGUGUAGUGGUGAAAUGCGUAGAGAUCCGGAGGAACGCCGGUGGCGCAAGCGGCCACCUGGGCCUGACCUGACGCUGAGGGACGAAAGCGUGGGGAGCGAACCGGAUUAGAUACCCCAGUAGUC